rnacentral:rRNA from 1 species
GACGAACGCUGGCGGCGUGCCUAAUACAUGCAAGUAGAACGCUGAAGCUUGGUGCUUGCACCGAGCGGAUGAGUUGCGAACGGGUGAGUAACGCGUAGGUAACCUGCCUGGUAGCGGGGGAUAACUAUUGGAAACGAUAGCUAAUACCGCAUAAUAGUAGAUGUUGCAUGACAUUUGCUUAAAAGGUGCAAUUGCAUCACUACCAGAUGGACCUGCGUUGUAUUAGCUAGUUGGUGAAGUAACGGCUCACCAAGGCAACGAUACAUAGCCGACCUGAGAGGGUGAUCGGCCACACUGGGACUGAGACACGGCCCAGACUACUACGGGAGGCAGCAGUAGGGAAUCUUCGGCAAUGGACGGAAGUCUGACCGAGCAACGCCGCGGGAGUGAAGAAGGUUUUCGGAUCGUAAAGCUCUGUUGUAAGAGAAGAACGAGUGUGAGAGUGGAAAGUUCACACUGUGACGGUAUCUUACCAGAAAGGGACGGCUAACUACGUG